GAGGCCAUGAGGCUACAAAUGCUCCUGCAAAUGGAACCCCAGAUGUCCUUGGCUCAUGAGUUCCAUCGUGGACCUCUGGAUCAAACUGCACCCCUGGAAGACUCCCCUCUGGAGGAACCUUAACUGCAGGGCGCCUUCUAUGCCCCAGUUCAGCAGGCAGUGAAGAAAACUAGCAUUCGAGAAGAUGACUUUGAAAAUGGUUCCACAUGUCUUCUGCCUGGCCAAGUACUCCUGUUAACUGUAAAAAGCCAAGAGCAAGCUAUGAAUAAAUGCUGUGAAAAUUUAAAGACAGAAGAGAAGAGAAAGGGGAAAGGAGGGCUUUUGGAAUGGAUCCUUCACUCAGCAACCUCCUGGGUAACAAAGUAGAUGUCAGAGCUUCCGUCUCAUUCCAUACUUCUCUCCCCCAGAUUCUAUCCCAACAGAUGUUUUCAGUACAAAGGUGUUUGCAGUUCUUGACAUUUUGCAGACAUGCCAAGGAGAUUAAUUACAAUAAUUUCUCCUGCAACUGAGAUUAUAUAUAAAAUGAUUCUAGGUCAUCACUUGCAUUCUAGCAAAUGCCAAUUGAACUACUAUAUGAAAAGCCAAUUUAUUAGUUGACCACUAAUAAUGAAGGACAUAUAGAAGAGUAUAAAUUUGCAUUUAUAACAGAGAUGGGAUGAAAAUUCUAUCUUUAGUAGCUAAGAAGAUGAAUGAGUAAAAGUAUGAUAGAUACAAAUAGCAGGGUUCAUUACACAAUAAGAGGAUAUUAUCAGACAUAUGAUGAAGAUAAAUUCUACUGCAUGUCAGAGGCAUCAUGUUAUUACCUCUAAUCUAUCAUCUUGUUAAUGUUAUUUCUAUGGAAACAUUAAAAGAAAUUAAACUACUAAAACCUGCAAACAGGCUUGACAGCUACAUGCAACAAAAGAAAAAAUACCAAGAUUUUGCUGAAAUAUUUGCCACAUUUUAGCAAGUAACAUCGAAUACUAGCAGCCAAUGUUCAGAUGAUGAGGCCAUGCAGAGGUAUAAACAAAACCACAUAUAUAAAGAUGUUUUCAUUGUUCUUGUUAGACAGCAGUAAUUAAUGUAUUUAUAUUGAUAUAUUCAUGAAAAAAUUGUAAUUUAGGAUUUUCUUGUUCUAACAGGUGCAACUCAAUUCAAUAUAAAAAGAAUUUUCAUGACUUUACCAAUAUAUAUAAGAAUAUUGGUGUCCAUUGCUUAUUAAAGCAGGCUUUAAUACUCUGAAUGGCUUCCAUUUACUGGUGUGGGUUAGUGGAGUUUAUUUUUGCACUUAUCUUGGAUGUAGAAUAGCUUUAUCUGGAUAUAUAAAGCCUGCUUUUUUCCUGAUUUUCACUCCUAUCUCAUACUGUCCAGUGAAGAGAGAAGCUCCCCAGACCUCCUUGUGUAUGUUUUUGUAGGUGUCUGUGCAUGCAUGUGCCUGGGAGUGUGGGAGGGACCUUGAAGGUCCCCAUAUGCUUCCUAUUUUAACCCACAAACACAAUUUCUAUCCCAAGGGGAUGGUACAAUUUUUGUUUGUUUCUCCACUAUACUUACCUAAGGAAAAAAAAAAACAAUAGGAGUGAUAAGUAGAGAGGUUCCCUUUUCCUUUUUUUCUGAAAUUGUAUAUAAAAUAAAGCUAAUUAUAAUAAAACUGAAAGUCAUGAGAAAAAGGAAAUGAGAAUCAAAAUUUAACUUUGAAAAUUUUGCUGUGAGUUGGUCCUUGGCCAUGGAGGCACCACCGUGUUCUUUAUCACUAUUUAUUUAUCAUGAAAUAAGGUGAAGUUCAAGUUCUCCUGAGCCAGGACUAUAACAUGUUUUAUUCUUUUGGUAUUUAUAACAAACCUUGUGACACGCAGAUGAAAGAUGCUGAGAACGGUACAUGACAACAGCUAAUAUUAUUCCUUUUUCCCUGGAGGUGAAGCAGUUGAGUUUUCUAAUAUAAAGAAGAAAUCAUGACAAGAACUUCACUAAAUGGCUAGAUUUUUUUUUUAACAUGAAUUCAACUUGUAGCAACAGAUCCAAGUCAAUCAGUUUAAUUAUUUGGAGACUAGGCUGUUGUGGACAAUCAUUCAAGGGGUGAUUUUUAUGGAAUUUUUAAUAUGAAUGAUACUAUUCCCAGAGGGAUUUAAUUUUUGUAAACCAGUCAUCAAUUGUUUUGAAUAGGUCUGUGGUAUCACACGUCAAUGAUGAAAGCUCUUCUGAAGCUGGAGAAGUGAAAUAAUUGUUGUGUUACCAUUACUCAUGAAGACAUGUUCUGAACUCAUUGAAUAUAUUAGAUUUAGAAGUUGUCAUUCCGGGCUGUUCAGUAAUAUUGCCUGGAAGUGUUAAUGACUUGUAGGGGUGAAGGCAAAUUUUUUCCUCUGCACUCUAAAGGUUUGCUAUAAAUGAGCUACCAAAGGCAGAUUCACAGGAGAAAAAGGCAUAGAGAGUAUAUUUAAUGUGCAUAAACCUGGAAGCCAUACAGGAAGUGUGAGAUUUAAAGGGGACCAGAUGUUUGAGGCUUAAAUAGCCUCUUCAUAGAGAAAAGAUGUACGGUCUCAGGAGGCAGGCAUUAUAAGUUGACUAUCUCUUAUCUUAAAUACUUGGGGCCAAAAGUGUUUCAGAUUUCAGAUAUUUGUAGAUUUUGGAAUAUUUUCACAUAUAUAAUGAGAUAUCUUGGCGGUAAGACCCAAGUCUAAGCAUGAAACUUACUUAUAUUUCACAUAUCCCUUAUAUAGAGAGAGACCACCUUCAGGCAAUUAUAGACAUACUUUCAAAACUUUGUUCAUGACACAAUGUUUGUGUACAUUGAACUAUCAGAAAACAAAUGUUAACAAAUGGGUGUUUGGUCUCUACCUACAAUGCUGUGCUUUAAUUGAAAGGUGAGCGCACACUAUAAAUAUAUAUAUGUGUGUGUGUGUGU